UCAAGCCUAUCUGUGUGUGGAAUCAAAGAUGGUGGGGAACCAGGAUGUCGGCACGUGAAACUGGAACAUUCGUGAAUGACAACUAUGUGCCGCUAAGUUUGUUGAUAUCUGUGUGUGGAUCAAAGAUGGUGGGGAACCAGGAUGUCGACACGUGAAACUGGAACAUUCGUGAAUGACAACCAUGUGCCGCUAAGUUUGUUAAUAUCUGUGUGUGGAUCAAAGAUGGUGGGGAACCAGGAUGUCGACACGUGAAACUGGAACAUUCGUGAAUGACAACCAUGUGCCGCUAAGUUUGUUAAUAGAAGGCGGGUUAUUGGCAGUAAGCUGCAUAGGUCCGGUAAGGCCGGACUUUCGCACUACACAUUGUAGCCAGCAAACAGAUAGGAGAUGGCGGAAACGUCAUCUGUGCAUUUAAAUCAGGGAAAGCAGGCAAGGGGUUCCCGGGUAAAAUGGUCUGAGUUAAGGGAGGCGGUAGGUUACGAUGAAUAUUGUUUUGCCUGAGGUGUGUGCGUAGUUUGCGAGAUAUGGGCUGUGUCGAAAUCCGUGGUCUGCAGCCGACUAGGCCGCAUUUCGCGCCGCACGAAGGCUGUCCAAAUUACUAGAAAGUCUGCGAAGGCUCCUCCAAAUACGACCGACAAAUGUGUCCUCCUCUAUUGAAUGGAAGUCCAGCCAAGACACUGCUGAAAGGGGGCGGUAGUGCACCAAAGUGAUGGAUGCCUGCCGCCAUAAACAGAAGAAGACGACGAAGAAGUAGAAGUAGUACUGCAAGACGAGACAGCAGAGCGGCGAGGAAACGUACACUCACUCUUGGUUUCAGAACUGCUGCAGGAUUGAUUUGUGAUCAAGGUAUGGACCAACGACGUACAACCCUUCAGCUUGAGGACACAAGAUUAGGGCUUCGUGCGGAUGACCUGUCAGUCUAAACCACCCCCGGUAUCAGGUGCCAUUGCAGCAGGGGAAUUAAAGCCACUCCUUAGUUUCAUCUUGUACAAUAAAAUUUGGAGAAAAAACUAAUCUCAUUGAUUUCAUUUAUUUGAAAGAGUAGACUUGUUGAACUGAAGUAUAACAGAUUGGGCUUUUUGAAAGAAAUCGUUCAAAAAGUGUUGUAUUUUUGUAGUUGAGCAUCAAGGCACAAUCAUGUUUUAUCAAGGGAGCAGUGUUGCCAUGGUAUUGUCUGAUGCUUUGCUCUUGCAGAGGUGUCACACGAUCCUUAACCUUGAUUAAAGUGACCGAUUGGCAGCAAGGUGGAGACUAGGGUAGUGUUUUUAUGCCCUGGUGAGUCAUUCAUGUGUUUCCACAUAAUUGUAUAAUAUAUUACUGUAAUUGCAUUGAACGUUAGAUUUAAAAAUGCACUUUGGUGGCUGAAUCCAACCAUGGAAAGGUAAAGUAAUCAAAAGACACAGUAAUAUUAAAGUCUUUAAUAUUUUUACUUUUAAAAGACAUUUAAUUUUCACACGGUGAUGGUAAGCAUCAUGAAUGAAAGCCACAAAUACACUGCAAUGAUUAUGCACUGAUAAUGCAGAGGCUGGCUCAGUUAAUAGGUACAGAUACACCUGAAACACUGUCAUGGUUUAAAGUGUAAAUACGUUUUGACUCAUAAUGAAUGUAAUUUUCACCAACAUAUCUGAUACGGCAUUUUUCCUACUAUAAAGAAAACUUAUGGAUUGGCUCAAUACUUCUUGUGAUGUUUUUGAGUAUUGUGUUCCUGCUGUCUGUCGGGGACGAGUUUGUUAUUCAAACAGUUGCUGGCAUUUGACAAGUUUAUGUUUAGGCCUUUAGGAAACAUUCUGGCCGGGAGCAAUUUGAUAAGAUGUCACACCCAAGAAAACGAGGUAAACAAUUUUAUAGAGCUUCUGUGCCUGCACACCAGAUAACAUUCACAUAUACACAUGUCAGUUUCUAGGGUUUUUUUUAAUGAAUGACUUGACAUCUGUAUUGUUUAGGAUUAGACUAUUUGAGUGGUUUGUGCCUCACCAUUAUUUCCACAUAUAAAAAUGCCACAAUUCUCCCAACAGUGCAGCUCAGAGGCCCAGCUUGUCAUUACCAGAUGUGAUGGACAGGCUCGUCUGCCUCGGCAGCUAUCGACAGCAGGAUGGCCUUGGGAGUGUUCUCGAAAAGUGCCGCUCUGUUCUGCGUCUGGCCCUUCU